rfam:Gossypium hirsutum cultivar TM-1 chromosome 1, whole genome shotgun sequence
AACCUAUUCAUCAGACAUUUCUGAAUUAAAUCUUUAAACUGUUCCCAAGCUUUAUAUAGUGUUUCAUCCUCCAAUUGUCGAAAUUAUGUGAUGCCAUUUCUAAGCCU